GACGUAGGGCGCAAGCGUUGUCCGGAUUUAUUGGGCGUAAAGAGCUCGUAGGCGGCUUGUCGCGUCGACUGUGAAAACCCACGGCUUAACCGUGGGACUGCAGUCGAUACGGGCUAGCUAGAGUUCGGUAGGGGAGACUGGAAUUCCUGGUGUAGCGGUGAAAUGCGCAGAUAUCAGGAGGAACACCAAUAGCGAAGGCAGCUCGCUGGGACGUUACUGACACUGAGGCGCGAAAGCGUGGGGAGCGAACAGG
rnacentral:rRNA from 1 species